GAGUGAUCGAAAGAUGAAAAGCACUUUGAAAAGAGAGUUAAAAAGCACGUGAAAUUGUUGAAAGGGAAGCGCUUGCGACCAGACUCGCUCGCGGGGUUCAGCCGGCAUUCGUGCCGGUGUACUUCCCCGCGAGCGGGCCAGCGUCGGUUUGGGCGGUCGGUCAAAGGCCCUCGGAAGGUAACGCCCCCAGGGGCGUCUUAUAGCCGAGGGUGCAAUGCGACCUGCCUAGACCGAGGAACGCGCUUCGGCUCGGACGC
rnacentral:rRNA from 1 species